CACUUUGCCUGUGCAAUGCCAAGACUUCUCCUGAAAAUGGGAGCAACUACUGCCCUUCUCCACAAACCCAUCUUCAAGCUCUCUCCCUCUCAUCCUUCUAACCUCCAUACCUUCAAACCCACUUUGCAUUUCCGGGUUCCAGCUUCAACAUCUGUUUUCUUUGGUGAGUUUGGUUUCAAGAAAAUCGUGUCGAAGACCUCCAUUACUGAGCUGGUUAAAACUUCUGAGUUUAGGACUGGUGAUGAUGAGAAAAAUGUCAGAAUGUUUCAACAAG
rnacentral:misc_RNA from 1 species